CCUGACUACUGGUACCAGUCUCUGAUCACCUGCUGCUGAUGUGUUGUAGGCCUUCAAGUCAAACUCAUCCAGGACCUCCUCUGACAUCAGUAACACAAAGGCCAGAGCUGAACACUGGUCUGGUUCCAGCUCGUUAUCAGAAAGUUUUCCUGAUCUCAGGGAAUUCUGGAUUUCCUCCACUAGAGAGUUGUCAUUCAGUUCACUGAGACAGUGGAACAGAUUGAUGGUCCUCUCUGCUGAAGAUUCAUAUCUGAUCCUCUCCUUAAUGUACUGGACUGUUUUCUCAAUGCUCUGUGAUCUGCUUCCUGUCUGUGUCAGUAGUCCUCCGAAGAGAAUCUGACUGGACUCCAGAGACAGGCCAAGAAGGAAUCUGAGGAAAAGGUCCAGGUGUCCAUUCUUACUCUUUAAGGCCUGAUCCACUGCAGUCCUGUGUAACUCAGACAGCUGCACUCUGUCACUGUGAGGUUCUGAUUCUUCUGCUCUGAGUACAUUUCUGUUCUCAUUUACACAUGAAUGAAACACAAAUAAGGCAGCCAGAUACUCCUGAAUGCUCAGAUGCACAAAGCAGUAGACCUUCUCCUGAUACAACCCACACUCCUCUUUAAAGAUCUCUGUGCACACCCCAGAGUACACUGAAGCUUCACUGACAUCAAUGCCACUCUCUCUCAGGUCCUCUUCAUAGAAUAUCAGAUUGCCCUUUUCCAGCUGUAGAAAAGCCAGCCGCCCCAGUUUCAGGAUGAUUUCUGUAUCUGAUGCUGACAUCUUCUUUGAGUCUGUCUCAUCAGUGCCAUGAUACUUCUGAUUCUUCACAUUAGUCUGAAUGAGCAGGAAGUGUGUGUACAUUUCAGUCAGAGUUUUGGGCAGAUCUCCACUCUCUGUUUCACCCAACAUUGUCUCCAGAACAGUAGCAGAAAUCCAGCAGAAGACUGGUAUGUGACACAUGAUGUAGAGACUCCUGGA